rnacentral:rRNA from 3 species
GACGAACGCUGGCGGCGCGCCUAACACAUGCAAGUCGAGCGAGCGGCGGACGGGUGAGUAACGCGUGAGCAACCUACCUUUUACAGGGGGAUAACGUCCCGAAAGGGACCCUAAUACCGCAUGAGCAAAGCCGGUAAAAGAUGGGCUCGCGUCCGAUUAGAUAGUUGGUGAGGUAACGGCCCACCAAGUCAACGAUCGGUAGCCGACCUGAGAGGGUGAUCGGCCACAUUGGAACUGAGACACGGUCCAGACUCCUACGGGAGGCAGCAGUGGGGAAUAUUGGGCAAUGGGGGAAACCCUGACCCAGCGACGCCGCGUGAAGGAAGACGGCCUUCGGGUUGUAAACUUCUGUUCUUGGUGAAGAAGACGGUAACCAAGGAGGAAGCCCCGGCUAACUACGUGCCAGCAGCCGCGGUAAUACGUAGGGGGCGAGCGUUGUCCGGAAUGAUUGGGCGUAAAGGGCGCGUAGGCGGCUACGGAAGUCUGGAGUGGAAGUCCUAUUUUCAAGGUAGGAAUUGCUUUGGAAACUCCGCAGCUUGAGUGCAGGAGAGGUUAUCGGAAUUCCCGGUGUAGCGGUGAAAUGCAUAGAGAUCGGGAGGAACACCAGUGGCGAAGGCGGGUAACUGGACUGACUGACGCUGAGGCGCGAAAGUGUGGGGAGCAAACAGGAUUAGAUACCCUGGUAGUCCACACUGUAAACGAUGAAUGCUAGGUGUAGGUGCAUCUGUGCCGUCGUAAACACAAUAAGCAUUCCGCCUGGGGAGUACGGUCGCAAGAUUAAAACUCAAAGGAAUUGACGGGGGCCCGCACAAGCAGCGGAGCAUGUGGUUUAAUUCGAAGCAACGCGAAGAACCUUACCAGGUCUUGACAUCGACAGGUGGUGCAUGGAUGUCGUCAGCUCGUGUCGUGAGAUGUUGGGUUAAGUCCCGCAACGAGCGCAACCCUUGCCAAUAGUUACUAACGGCUGAGGACUCUAUUGGGACUGCCGUGGACAACACGGAGGAAGGUGGGGACGACGUCAAAUCAUCAUGCCCCUUAUGACCUGGGCUACACACGUGCUACAAUGGUCGCCAAAGAGGAGCAAAGCCGCAAGGCGGAGCGGAUCUCAAGCGAUCUCAGUUCAGAUGUGGGCUGCAACCCGCCCACAGAAGUCGGAGUUGCUAGUAAUCGCGAAUCAGCAUGUCGCGGUGAAUACGUUCCCGGGCCUUGUACACACCGCCCGUCACACCAUGGGAGUUGAUAGCGCCCGAAGGCAGAAGGUAGCCAUCUGACGAAGGCGAGAUUAAUGACUGGGGUGAAGUCGUAACAGGGUAGCCGUA